UUUUAAGUUGGAUUGCCAACCGCCAUUAAACCCUAGAAGAAGAAAAUGAAAAUGCUGUUUGGUUGGUGGGUUAGUUGUUGAGGAAUUUGUUAUGGAGACUUCUGUUAUUAUGGUGACUUCUGUGGUUUUCAAAAUCUGGUUAAGUCGGGAAUUUGAUGUGGACCUGUAAACCAAUCAACAAAUCUGAGAGUGCUGCUGCUGCUUCGAUUCUUACCCUGAAACGUGUGUUUGCCAUUCAGGUGGCCUAUUAAAGAAUGUGACGCGCACGUCUCCCAGAAAUCCUGUAAAAGAAGACCAAUCAGAUGACGAUUUCAAACAUGCUGAAGUGUCUCCAGAAGAGUGUGCCUUAUGCAUCAGACGUUCAGCCAACUGUCCAUGGGCGUGACAGGCUGAGACUACAGCUCUUAUGUUUAGAUGGAACUCGUGUAAAGAGAAACUCAUCUCCCCGCUGGAGUCCACUGAC